ACGAGCACCCAUCUCCGACCCACGGAGCGUCUUUGUGACAUUCAUUCGGGUUCUGCUCGUGAGAGAGAAGAGAAGAAAACCGAUCAAUCAUGAAGCUCUCUUUCUCUCUCCCUUCCAAAUCGAAACCCAAAGUCACAGCCGCCGGCGCCGUCGAUGACGGUACAAGCAAAGAGUUCGUCACGGAAUUCGAUCCUUCGAAAACCCAAGCUGAUUCCACUCCCAAACACGUCAUCCCUCCGAUCGACAACACAUGGAGGCCUCACAAGAAGAUGAAGAAUCUCGAUCUCCCGCUCCAAUCCGGCAACACCGGUUCGGGUCUCGAAUUCGAACCCGAGGUUCCUUUAACCGGUUCCCAGGAGAACAUCACCUACGGUUUGAAGCUGCGUCAGAAAGCAAAGGACGACGAAGAAGAAGAAGAUCGGAACCUAGCUCCGAUAGAGCAGCUUAUGAUGCAGAGUUUGAGGAAAGAUCUGGAGUCGCUUGCUGAUGACCCGACCUUAGAGGACUUCGAGAGCGUUCCUGUGGAGGGUUUUGGAGCUGCGUUGAUGGCUGGGUAUGGGUGGAAGCCUGGCAAGGGGAUUGGUAAGAACGCUAAAGAUGAUGUCCAGAUUAAGGAGUACAAACGCUGGACUGCUAAGGAAGGUUUAGGUUUCGAUCUUGAUAAGUCUAAGCUUGUUGUUGAUAAAGUUAAAGAAAGUGUGAAACUUGAUGUUAAUGGUGGGGAUCUUUUUUUUGUUGGAAAAGAAGUUCGGAUCGUUGCUGGUAGAGAUAUGGGAUUAAAGGGUAAGAUUGUGGAGAAGCUUGGUAAUGAUUUGUUUGCUUUGAAGCUCUCUGGAAGUGAAGAUGAAGUGAGAGUUGGUUUGAGUGAUGUAGCAGAUUUGGGUUCCCGGGAAGAAGAACGGUGUUUAAAAGAGUUGAAAGACAAGGAGAAAGAUAAGAAAGCGAGUAAACGAAGCAGAGGAACAGAGAGAGUGAGUAGAAAUGAAGUUAGAGUCAGUGAGAAGCAUGAUAGAGGUGAGAGGAGAGUUAAGAAGCCCUCAUGGCUCAGGAGUCAUAUAAAGGUGAGAAUAGUGAGCAAGGAUUUUAAAAGUGGGAGGCUGUAUCUGAAGAAAGGGAAAGUUGUUGAUGUUGUCGGACCAACGACCUGUGAUAUCAUGAUGGACGAGACGCAAGAGUUGGUUCAAGGGGUUGAUCAGGAGCUGCUGGAGACGGCACUGCCUAGGCGAGGAGGACCGGUUUUGAUUCUGUUGGGGAAACAUAAGGGCGUCUAUGGGAAUUUGGUUGAGAAAGAUUUGGAUAAAGAAACUGGUGUGGUUCGUGACUUAGACAACCACAAGAUGCUUGAUGUUAGACUUGAACAAGUUGCUGAGUACAUGGGCGAUAUGGAUGAUGUUGAAUACUGAAACUAUCAACACUAAAGCUGCUUACUUUCAGAUGAGGUGCAGCUUGCAGAUUUACGAGGAACCUCGGUGGAGUUAUGCGUUUGUUGAGUUUACAGACAAAAUUGACAUUGGCUUCAGUGUCUGUCUUCCAGUAAUUGCACUCACUGUACUAUCUGUAAGGGCACUUUGUAAGAGUACGUACAUGGCCUGGACUUGGAGUGAACUCGCAAUACUGUGCUGAGGAAACAAAAGAAAUCAGUUCUAUUCCAAUUUUCUUCUUCUCUUAUUUGACUUAAGUUCUUCCUUUUUACCCCCAAAUUAUAAUGUCUACGAGCUUCAUGUUCGUCUUCUGACAUUGUGUAUCAGCUAUAGAUUUAGAUUUGCACAAACUAUUUAAGUUCAGGCUAUCAAGAUGACAAGUCAAACAGAUGGUUCAUA